GAUGAAGAACGCAGCAAAAUGCGAUAAGUAGUGUGAAUUGCAGAAUUCCGUGAAUCAUCGAGUCUUUGAACGCACAUUGCGCCCCCUGGUAUUCCGGGGGGCAUGCCUGUCCGAGCGUCAUUGCUGCCCAUCAAGCACGGCUUGUGUGUUGGGUCCUCGUCCCCCCCGGGGGACGUGCCCGAAAGGCAGCGGCGGCACCGCGUCCGGUCCUCGAGCGUAUGGGGCUUUGUCACCCGCUCUGCAGGCCCGGCCGGCGCUGGCCGACGCGAAAGCAACCAUUUUUUCUCCAGGUUGACCUCGGAUCAGGUAGGGAUACCCGCUGAACUUAAGCAUAUCAAUAAGCGGAGGA
rnacentral:misc_RNA from 1 species